rnacentral:misc_RNA from 1 species
GGAUCAUUACACAAUACAAUAUGAAGGCCCGUAACACGGCUGGAUUAUUUUAUUACCCUUGUCUUUUGCGCACUUGUUGUUUCCUGGGCGGGUUUCGCCCGCCACCAGGACCACACCAUAAACCUUUUUUAUGCAGUUGCAAUCAGCGUCAGUACAACAAAUGUAAAUCAUUUACAACUUUCAACAACGGAUCUCUUGGUUCUGGCAUCGAUGAAGAACGCAGCGAAAUGCGAUACGUAGUGUGAAUUGCAGAAUUCAGUGAAUCAUCGAAUCUUUGAACGCACAUUGCGCCCUUUGGUAUUCCAAAGGGCAUGCCUGUUCGAGCGUCAUUUGUACCCUCAAGCUUUGCUUGGUGUUGGGCGUUUUUUUGUCUUUGGUUAUGCCAAAGACUCGCCUUAAAACGAUUGGCAGCCGGCCUCCUGGUUUCGCAGCGCAGCACAUUUUUGCGCUUGCAAUCAGCAAUAGAGGGCGGCACUCCAUCAAGACACUUUUUUUCACGUUUGACCUCGGAUCAGGUAGGGAUACCCGCUGAACUUAAGC